CAAAUUAGAGCUUGAAAUUAAGCAUUUCAUUUACAUUGAAAAGAUAAUAUUAUUUAUUUAAUUUGA
rnacentral:tRNA from 1 species